rnacentral:rRNA from 1 species
GAUGAACGCUAGCGGCAGGCUUAAUACAUGCAAGUCGAGGGGCAGCAUGAUUGUAGCAAUACAAUUGAUGGCGACCGGCAAACGGGUGCGGAACACGUACACAACCUUCCAACAAGUGGGGGAUAGCCCAGAGAAAUUUGGAUUAAUACCCCGUAACAUAGCGCUGUGGCAUCACAUUGCUAUUAUAGAUUUUUCGCUUGUUGAUGGGUGUGGGGCUGAUUAGAUAGUUGGCGGGGUAACGGCCCACCAAGUCUACGAUCAGUAGCUGAUGUGAGAGCAUGAUCAGCCACACGGGCACUGAGACACGGGCCCGACUACUACGGGAGACAGCAGUAAGGAAUGUUGGACAAUGGACGCAAGUCUGAUCCAGCCAUGCCGCGUGAAGGAUUAAGGUCCUCUGGAUUGUAAACUUCUUUUAUAAGGGACGAAAAAAGGCUUUUCUAAGUCGUCUGACGGUACCUUAUGAAUAAGCACCGGCUAACUCCGUGCCAGCAGCCGCCGUAACAC